UACGGAGGAUGCGAGCGUUAUCCGGGUUUAUUGGGUUUAAAGGGUGCGUAGGCGGGAUGCCAAGUCAGCGGUAAAAAUGCGGUGCUCAACGCCGUCGAGCCGUUGAAACUGGCAUUCUUGAGUGGGCGAGAAGUAUGCGGAAUGCGUGGUGUAGCGGUGAAAUGCAUAGAUAUCACGCAGAACUCCGAUUGCGAAGGCAGCAUACCGGCGCCCUACUGACGCUGAGGCACGAAAGCGUGGGUAUCGAACAGG
rnacentral:rRNA from 1 species